rfam:Schistosoma rodhaini strain Burundi genome assembly, scaffold: SROB_scaffold0015951
AUCCAGCUGAGUCCCGAAUAGGACGAAAUGCGCGUCAAUCUGGAU